CCUACGGGGUGCAGCAGUCGAGAAUCAUUCACAAUGGGGGAAACCCUGAUGGUGCGACGCCGCGUGGGGGAAUGAAGGUCUUCGGAUUGUAAACCCCUGUCAUGUGGGAGCAAAUUAAAAAGAUAGUACCACAAGAGGAAGAGACGGCUAACUCUGUGCCAGCAGCCGCGGUAAUACAGAGGUCUCAAGCGUUGUUCGGAAUCACUGGGCGUAAAGCGUGCGUAGGCGGUUUCGUAAGUCGUGUGUGAAAGGGGCGGGCUCAACCCGCGGACGGCACAUGAUACUGGGAGACUAGAGUAAUGGAGGGGGAAGCGGAAUUCGCGGUGUAGCAGUGAAAUGCGUAGAUAUCGAGAAGAACACUCGUGGCGAAGGCGGGUUCCUGGACAUUAACUGACGCUGAGGCACGAAGGCCAGGGGAGCGAAAGGGAUUAGAUACCCGAGUAGUC
rnacentral:rRNA from 1 species